rnacentral:rRNA from 1 species
GAUGAACGCUGGCGGCGUGCCUAAUACAUGCAAGUCGAGCGAACGGACGAGAAGCUUGCUUCUCUGAUGUUAGCGGCGGACGGGUGAGUAACACGUGGAUAACCUACCUAUAAGACUGGGAUAACUUCGGGAAACCGGAGCCAAUACCGGAUGAUAUUUUGAACCGCAUGGUUCAAAAGUGAAAGACGGUCUUGCUGUCACUUAUAGAUGGAUCCGCGCUGCAUUAGCUAGUUGGUAAGGUAACGGCUUACCAAGGCAACGAUGCAUAGCCGACCUGAGAGGAUGAUCGGCCACACUGGAACUGAGACACGGUCCAGACUCCUACGGGAGGCAGCAGUAGGGAAUCUUCCGCAAUGGGCGAAAGCCUGACGGAGCAACGCCGCGUGAGCGAUGAAGGUCUUCGGAUCGUAAAACUCUGUUAUUAGGGAAGAACAUAUGUGUAAGUAACUGUGCACAUCUUGACGGUACCUAAUCAGAAAGCCACGGCUAACUACGUG